CCGAGUUUACCAACUCCCAAACCCCUGUGAACAUACCUGAACGUUGCCUCGGCGGGACCGCCCCGGCGCCCACGGCGGCCCGGAACCAGGCGCCCGCCGGAGGACCCAAACUCUUUGGCUUACGGUGGCAUAUUCUGAGUCUCGAAGAAAAUGAAUCA
rnacentral:misc_RNA from 1 species